AGUGUUUACAUCGUUUUUAGUAACGUUUGAAGUUAUUUAUCUGAAACAUGCACACACUUUACGUGUCUUUAGAAUGUUUACACACAAACUUUACUUUCCAGACGUAUUUGUACAGGGAACGUAAUAAUCGGUGGGAAGGAAAUGGCACCGGACCAUGAAAUCAGCCGUGAGAGAAUAUUAUUCGUUGUCUUCUUCAUUGUUUUCUAAUAUCUGUGAACAUGAGUUACGAUUAAAUAGACGCUUCCAUCUUUACUGGAUAAACGAAAACAACAACAACAGGGACUUAAACCAACCAAGAUUUUUUUUUUAAGCAGACAGCAACAACAACAAUGUGGAUAUCCCGCUCCAAAACCAUGUCCAUUGAUAUAGAAUUGGCUGCUCUAACAGCCUCCACUCAUCUGAGAAGGCUUUCCACGAGAUCGUGGAGCAUGGUUGUGUUUUGUAAAUUGUGUUCAUUCAGCCACAAGAGCAUUACUGAGCUCGUGCACUGAUGUCAGACGAGUUCCAGUUCAUCUCGGAGGUGUUGGAUGGGGUUCAAGUCAGGGCUCUGUUCAGGACACUGGAGUUCUUCGACACCGACCUUGGCGUACCAUGUCUUCAUGGAGUUCUCUUUGUGUAUGGAUGCCGGAUCAGGUUUGGAUCUGACCCGUCGAGGCAUGGACUCCACAAGACCUCUGAGGCUGUGCUGUGGUAUCUGGCACCGAGACGUUAGCAGCAGAUCCUUUAAGCUGCAAGGCGAGGCCUCCGUAGAUCGGACCUGUUUGUCCGGCACGUCCCACAGCCGCUCGAUCGAAUAGAGAUCUGGGGGAUUUGUUGAACACUGUCAUGUUCCUCAAACCGUUCCUGAACCAUUUUUGCUGCGUGUCAGGGUGCGUUAUCCUGCUGAGAGACGCCAAUGCCAUUAGGGAAUACCGUUACCUUGUUUCAGUAGGUGAUACGUGUCAAAGUAACAUCCACAUGAAUGCCAGGACCCAAGGUUUCCCAGAGGAACAUUCCCCAGAGCAUCACACUGCCUCCGCCUUCUUCCCAUAGCGCCUCCUGGUGCUAACUCUUCUCCGGGUAAGCAAUGCACACACAUGCACCACAUGAUGUAAAAGAAAACAUGACUCAUCAGACCAGCCCGCCUUCUUCCAUCGCUCUUAGGUAUAUUUUAAGCAGGAUCCCAAUCAUGUAUAAAUCAAUGUAUAAUUUAAAGAAACUAAGACAAGCUGAUGUGACUCUAACUUGUGGAACAUCACAGGACACAUAUUCCUCACUCACCCUCUGUACCUAUUGAGGAACAUUUAGUCUGUUCUCCGUAUCUUUUUACCAGGUUGUGAUUUCUUAAAGUGUAUUGUUCAAGUUUACAUUUUUAUUCGUAAUGUUAAUCCGUAUAAAAACACACAAAAAAAUAAUAAACCGAUGAGCUUGCGCCACAAUUAAAGAAAAGGGAGAGUGAAAUAAUUGUGGUGAGAG
ensembl:lncRNA